CAGCCGCCAGCGGUAAUACAGAGGGUGCGAGCGUUAAUCGGAUUUACUGGGCGUAAAGCGUGCGUAGGUGGCUUUUUAAGUCGGAUGUGAAAUCCCUGAGCUUAACUUAGGAAUUGCAUUCGAUACUGGGAAGCUAGAGUAUGGGAGAGGAUGGUAGAAUUCCAGGUGUAGCGGUGAAAUGCGUAGAGAUCUGGAGGAAUACCGAUGGCGAAGGCAGCCAUCUGGCCUAAUACUGACGCUGAGGUACGAAAGCAUGGGGAGCAAACAGGAUUAGAUACCCCAGUAGUCCCUGUCUCUUAUA
rnacentral:rRNA from 1 species